rnacentral:lncRNA from 1 species
CUCGCCCUGGAGCAGAGAGAGCCCCACGCGGUGCCGGGAGCUGCGGCCGCGCCUUAGAAGGGCUGUGGCAGGUUGCCACGCAGAAUGUGCUGUCCUCAGCUCUGAUUCCUGGUGUGAACUUAAGCUCCUCAUUGAGACUCUGAGCAUGGAUGCCCAGCAAUUCUGCCAACUGCAAAUUUGAAUGAGGAUCCAUUCAGAGGUU